CCUACGGGAGGCUGCAGUGGGGAAUAUUGGGCAAUGGGCGCAAGCCUGACCCAGCAAAGCCGCGUGAAGGAAGACGGCUCUCGGGUUGUAAACUUCUUUUCUGAGGGACGUAACAAGUGACGGUACCUGAGGAAUAAGCCACGGCUAACUACUUGCCAGCCGCCGCGGUAAUACGUAGGUGGCAAGCGUUAUCCGGAUUUACUGGGUGUAAGGGGCGUGUAGGCGGGACUGCAAGUCAGAUGUGAAAACCACGGGCUCAACCUGUGGCCUGCAGUUGAAACUGGAGUUCUUGAGUACUGGAGAGGCAGACGGAAUUCCUGGUGUAGCGGUGAAAUGCGUAGAUAUUAGGAGGAACACCAGUGGCGAAGGCGGUCUGCUGGACAGCAACUGACGCUGAGGCGCGAAAGUGUGGGGAGCAAACAGGAUUAGAUACCCCAGUAGUC
rnacentral:rRNA from 1 species